GAUGAACGCUGGCGGUGUGCCUUAUACAUGCAUGUCGAACGAGGCGUAGCAAUACGUCUAGUGGCAAAUGGGUGAGUAAUAAAUAGGUAACCAACCCUUAAGACGGGGAUACCCCAUCGAAAGAUGGAAUAAUACCCGAUAAUGUCCCUUCCGGUGCGCUGGAGGGGAAGAAAGAUGGCGCAAGCUAUCACUUUUGGACGGGCUUAUUUCCUAUCAGCUAGUUGGUGAGGUAACGGCUUACCAAGGCUACGACGGGUAGCUGGUCUGAGAGGACGGUCAGCCACAUUGGGACUGCGACACGGCCCAGACUCCUACGGGAGGCAGCAGUCGGGAAUAUUCGGCCAAUGCGCGAAAGCGUGACCGAGCGACACCGCGUGGGCGACGAAGAUCUUAGGAUUGUAAAGCCCUUUUGCCUAGGGAAGAAUACGCUGGAGACAAUAUCAAUAGCGUUUGACGGUACCUGGCGAAUAAGCGCAGCAAACUACGUGCCAGCAGCCGCGGUAA
rnacentral:rRNA from 1 species